rnacentral:rRNA from 1 species
GUGCCAGCAGCCGCGGUAAUACGGAGGAUCCGAGCGUUAUCCGGAUUUAUUGGGUUUAAAGGGUGCGUAGGCGGACUAGUAAGUCGGCUGUGAAAGUUAGUGGCUCAACCACUAAAUUGCAGUUGAAACUGUUGGUCUUGAGUAUACAUGAGGUGAGCGGAAUUUGUGGUGUAGCGGUGAAAUGCAUAGAUAUCACAAGGAACUCCAAUUGCGAAGGCAGCUCACUGGGGUAUAACUGACGCUGAGGCACGAAGGUGCGGGUAUCAAACAGGAUUAGAUACCCUGGUAGUCCACACAGUAAACGAUGAUUACUAGUUUUUUGCGAUAUACAGUAAGAGACUAAGCGAAAGCGAUAAGUAAUCCACCUGGGGAGUACGUUGGCAACAAUGAA